UAUGGAGGGGGCGAGCGUUAUUCGGAAUUAUUGGGCGUAAAGGGCGCGUAGGCGGCUGUACAAGUCAAAGGUGAAAUCCCUCGGCUCAACUGAGGAACUGCCUUUGAAACUGUACGGCUUGAGGCCGGGAGGGGGUAGCGGAAUUCCCAAUGUAGCGGUGAAAUGCGUAGAUAUUGGGAGGAACACCAGUGGCGAAGGCGGCUACCUGGACCGGUUCUGACGCUGAGGCGCGAAAGCGUGGGUAGCAAACAGG
rnacentral:rRNA from 1 species